rnacentral:snRNA from 1 species
UUGCCUUAAACUAAUGAGUAAGGAAAAUAACGAUCUGGGUGACGCCAGAUCUACGCCCAGUAAUGCGUAAGAAUUUCUGAAGGGUAGAGGUCGCCCUUGGAUAGCCCGCUUACUUUCGCGGGAGAUCCUUGUUGAAGCGAUCUCCG